GGACCCGCACAAGCGGUGGAGCAUGUGGUUUAAUUCGAUGCAACGCGAAAAACCUUACCUACACUUGACAUACUUGGAAUCUUUUGUAAUGAAAGAGUGCCUUUUGGAGCCAAGAUACAGGUGCUGCAUGGCUGUCGUCAGCUCGUGUCGUGAGAUGUUCCGUUAAGUCGGAUAACGAGCGCAACCCUUACCCUUAUUUGCCAGCGAUUCGGUCGGGAACUAUAAGGGGACUGCCGGUGAUAAACCGGAGGAAGGUGAGGACGACGUCAAGUCAUCAUGGCCCUUACGAGUAGGGCUACACACGUGCUACAAUGGGGAAUACAGACGGACGCUAAGCCGCGAGGUGGUGCUAAUCUCAAAAACCCUAUCUCAGUUCGGAUUGUACUCUGCAACUCGAGUACAUG
rnacentral:rRNA from 1 species